rnacentral:rRNA from 1 species
AAUCAACGCUGGCGGCGUGCCUAACACAUGCAAGUCGAACGCGAAAGCCCUUUCGGGGGUAAGUAGAGUGGCGUCCGGGUGAGUAACACGUAGGUAAUCUGCCUUCGGGUGGGGAAUAACCAGUCGAAAGAUUGGCUAAUACCGCAUAAUGCAGCGGCACCUAAUGGUGAUUAGUUGUUAAAGCGGGGGAUCGUAAGACCUCGCGCCUGAAGAGGAGCCUGCGGCAGAUUAGCUAGNGGUGAGGUAAUGGCUCACCAAGGCUUCGAUCUGUAGCUGGUCUGAGAGGACGGCCAGCCACACUGGCACUGACACACGGGCCAGACUCCUACGGGAGGCAGCAGUGGGAAUUUUGGGCAAUGGGCGAAAGCCUGACCCAGCAACGCCGCGUGAGGGAGGAAAUCCUUCGGGAUGUAAACCUCACAAGCAAGGGAAGAGAGCUCAGGGCCGAAUAAGCUUUGAGUCCGACGGUACCUUGCGUAAGCC